GACGAACGCUGGCGGCGUGCCUAAUACAUGCAAGUAGAACGCUGAAGAGAGGAGCUUGCUCUUCUUGGAUGAGUUGCGAACGGGUGAGUAACGCGUAGGUAACCUGCCUUGUAGCGGGGGAUAACUAUUGGAAACGAUAGCUAAUACCGCAUAACAAUGGAUGACACAUGUCAUUUAUUUGAAAGGGGCAAUUGCUCCACUACAAGAUGGACCUGCGUUGUAUUAGCUAGUAGGUGAGGUAAUGGCUCACCUAGGCGACGAUACAUAGCCGACCUGAGAGGGUGAUCGGCCACACUGGGACUGAGACACGGCCCAGACUCCUACGGGAGGCAGCAGUAGGGAAUCUUCGGCAAUGGGGCAACCCUGACCGAGCAACGCCGCGUGAGUGAAGAAGGUUUUCGGAUCGUAAAGCUCUGUUGUAAGUCAAGAACGGGUGUGAGAGUGGAAAGUUCACACUGUGACGGUAGCUUACCAGAAAGGGACGGCUAACUACGU
rnacentral:rRNA from 1 species